GCCUCGGUAGCUCAGCCUGGUAGAGCGCUUCCUUGGUAAGGAAGAGGUCGCGGGUUCGAAGCCCGCCCGAGGCU
rnacentral:tRNA from 1 species